AGUGAACGCUGGCGGCAGGCCUAACACAUGCAAGUCGAACGGCAGCACAAGAGAGCUUGCUCUCUGGGUGGCGAGUGGCGGACGGGUGAGGAAUGCAUCGGAAUCUGCCCAUUUGUGGGGGAUAACCUCGGGAAACCGGGACUAAUACCGCAUACGACCUACGGGUGAAAGCAGGGGAUCUUCGGACCUUGCGCAGAUGGAUGAGCCGAUGCCGGAUUAGCUAGUUGGAGGGGUAAAGGCCCACCAAGGCGACGAUCCGUAGCUGGUCUGAGGGGAUGAUCAGCCACACUGGGACUGAGACACGGCCCAGACUCCUACGGGAGGCAGCAGUGGGGAAUAUUGGACAAUGGGCGCAAGCCUGAUCCAGCCAUGCCGCGUGUGUGAAGAAGGCCUUCGGGUUGUAAAGCACUUUUGUUGGGAAAGAAAAGCAGCCGGUUAAUACCCGGUUGUCAUGACGGUACCCAAAGAAUAAGCACCGGCUAACUUCGUG
rnacentral:rRNA from 1 species